UGCUUUGUAAUUGUCAGUUUAUUUAUGCUAUGAAUUACGAUGGCCAAGUGGUGUACUGAGAGUCGCUUAAGCACCUAUGGCAAUUAGUAGUCGAUCUUGGUUAUCACAUGUUUGGACUAAUUUUGGUCUACUUCUCUAAUACCAUUUUCUAUAUUUUAAUUGUUUAUAUCAUUUUUUAUCUUUUGUUCUUGCGAAGGCUUUCAAAUUCUUUGUUUUAAAGUUGUUUGAACGAAUAAUUUUUUAACAAGGAACAAAUGGAAUAAAUCAAAAGGGUAUUUGAAUUUGGUCUCAUUUUUAUCCAAUUCUAUUUUGUUGCUUCCCAACUAAAUUUGUAUGUUGAUGCAGUCUAAAAGAGAAUGCGAAGAGAACUUUUGAGAACAGGUGAAUGUGGGGAAGACACGGAUCUGGGACUAUUCACGUUUGUUUGCUCAGCAAGACUUAUAGAACCAUUGCCAGGUUCUACAUCCAUGGACAAAGUUGGGUCUUUCUUCUCUCUCAAAAGUCAAAACAACGCCAACUUUCAAAGUGAACUCUCACUAACGAUACAAUUCCACCAUAGAUAUGCAUUUUUGUCUUAAGACUUGCUCCACUUAUGUGUUUGAUUGUUGGGAUGUAGAACACAUUCAAUUUUUACUAGUUUUAGAUAUAUGAUAUUUUCUGAGUUUGUAAGUGCUGUUUAGCGUCUCAUGAAGUUUUCUUUCUUGUCCUAAAAAGAGAUGAAGGAUGAGUUUACAAUGUGAGUAUUUAAAAAAAAAGGAAAGAAAAUCAAUUAUGGUGAAUAACUACUCACCAGUCACCAUGACAAUUGAUGUGUUAGUCUCCUAAAUUUCUAUUGAUUAAUAGUGUAAGGAUAUUUUGCACUGUGUGAAUAAACUACUAGAAUGCAGAAACUUUAGUAUGCAACACCAGUACAUAAGGUUAAAUUUCUGACCCCGCAAAAAAAAAAAAAGGUUUAAUUAUUUUGUCGGUCCUUAUAUAAUUUCACCGAAUUUUCAAUUAGGUCCCUAUACUUUUUUUUUUCUAAUUAGGUCCCUAUACUAUAUCAGAUUUUGUAAGUAAGUCCUUCUCGUGACAAAAACGUUGAAAUUAACGAAAUAUUCUAUUAAACUAUACAGAAUAUUCAGUAAAGUGUUAGGUAUAUUCGGUUUGUUUAACAGAAUAUUUUGUUAAUUCCAUCGUUUUUGUCACGGUAGGAGCUUAAUUACAAAAUCUGAUAUGGUAUAGGGACUCCAUCGAAAAGAAAAAAAGUAUAGAGAUCUAAUUGAAAAUUUAGUGAAACUAUAGGGACCGACAGAAUAAUUAAACCAAAAAACAAAGGAGACAAGAUUCAAGUGAAGCCUGCAGUCUGGAAUUUUACCAAAACCUUCAACAUGUCAAGACUACAAUAUCGUACAUAUAACAUAUCAACAGAUUUCAGAUGCACUCUACAAGACUCAUCCAAUCACUUUGUGCAAAGUUAGCCUUUUUCACCUAUACUAUUUAGAUAAAUAAAUUCUACGAAAAAA